rnacentral:rRNA from 1 species
AUUGAACGCUCGCGGCAGGCUUAACACAUGCAAGUCGAGCGGGGUGAUGGUGCUUGCACUAUCACUUAGCGGCGGACGGGUGAGUAAUGCUUAGGAAUCUGCCUAUUAGUGGUGGACAACAUCUCGAUAGGGAUGCUAAUACCGCAUACGUCCUACGGGAGAAAGCAGGGGAUCACUUGUGACCUUGCGCUAAUAGAUGAGCCUAAGUCGGAUUAGCGAGUUGGUGGGGUAAAGGCCUACCAAGGCGACGAUCUGUAGCGGGUCUGAGAGGAUGAUCCGCCACACUGGGACUGAGAAACGGCCCAGACUCCUACGGGAGGCAGCAGUGGGGAAUAUUGGACAAUGGGGGGAACCCUGAUCCAGCCAUGCCGCGUGUGUGAAGAAGGCCUUAUGGUUGUAAAGCACUUUAAGCGAGGAGGAGGCUCUUCUGGUUAAUACCCAAGAUGAGUGGACGUUACUCGCAGAAUAAGCACCGGCUAACUCUGUGCCAGCAGCCGCCGUAA